rnacentral:rRNA from 1 species
UACGUAGGCAGCGAGCGUUGUUCGGAGUUACUGGGCGUAAAGCGUGCGUAGGCGGUUUUCCAAGUCUGGUGUGAAAUCUCCCGGCUCAACCGGGAGGGUGCGCUAGAAACUGGGAGGCUGGAGUGCGGGAGAGGUAGGCGGAAUUCCUGGUGUAGCGGUGAAAUGCGUAGAUAUCAGGAGGAACACCGGUGGUGUAGACGGCCUGCUGGACCGUGACUGACGCUGAGGCACGAAAGCGUGGGGAGCAAACAGG